UACGUAGGGAGCGAGCGUUGUCCGGAUUUAUUGGGCGUAAAGAGCUCGUAGGCGGUUUGGUAAGUCGGGUGUGAAAGCUCCGGGCUCAACUCGGAGAGGUCACUCGAUACUGCCAUGACUGGAGUCCGGUAGGGGGGUGUGGAAUUCCCAGUGUAGCGGUGAAAUGCGCAGAUAUCAGGAGGAACACCGGUGGCGAAGGCGGGUCUCUGGGCAAUUCCUGACGCUGAGGCGCGAAAGCGUGGGGAGCAAACGGG
rnacentral:rRNA from 1 species